GAAAUCUUGGUCUUUGAAGGCUCUCCAGGUGGUCUGUGGUCUAUUGCCCAAAUGCAAUGGUCAUAAAAAAAGAGAGAAGAAAAGAAAGAAAAAAAGAAAAUUGGUUUAACAAGCAAGGGUCAUGAAGGGGAAGAAGAUCAUCAACAAAACUACAUAAAAACAAUUCCCAACCCUUCAGAACUGAGGUGGAUGAGACCAAGCAGGGACAACACAAGAGCCUGAGGGAGAAAAUAAAGCCACAGAAUCUGUACAUUACGAACAAAACACAUGCCCGAAAGGAGAGGAUCAUACACUUCAUGAAGUCCCAGAUUGUACGUGAACAGGAACAUGAACAGGAUUCAAGAUGGUGGAAUCAGAGCUAUUGUUCUGUGAAGCUCUGUGAGAAGGUGAGGUCCCAUGAGGGAUGGUCCUACCCUCUGCACUGUGUCUAGCUUUCCUUCCACUAGUCUCAAUGAUGGACAGCAACCCAUGGGAAGUACUUGCCUGUGGACCAGAGAGACAAAACUUCCUGUGGAUUACAUGCACACCUCACCACUAGACUCACUUCAGCUGUGGACAAUAGGAUUCUGAGAUACCAAAGUUUUCUCUAUCCUGUCUUCUUGAGAUGAAUAGUUACAUAGACU